rnacentral:rRNA from 1 species
CCAGCAGCUGCGGUAAUUCCAGCUCCAAUAGCGUAUGUUUAAGUUGUUGCAGUUAAAAAGCUCGUAGUUGGAUUUCGGGUGGGUUUCAGCGGUCCGCCUAUGGUGAGUACUGCUGUGGCCUAUCUUACUGUCGGGGACCUGCUUCUGGGCUUCAUUGUCCGGGACAGGGAUUCGGCAUGGUUACUUUGAGUAAAUUAGAGUGUUCAAAGCAGGCUUACGCCGUGAAUACUUUAGCAUGGAAUAACAUGAUAGGACUCUGCCCUAUUUUGUUGGCCUGUAGGAGUGGAGUAAUGAUUAAGAGGAACAGUCGGGGGCAUUCGUAUUUCAUUGUCAGAGGUGAAAUUCUUGGAUUUAUGAAAGACGAACUACUGCGAAAGCAUUUGCCAAGGAUGUUUUCAUUAAUCAAGAACGAAAGU